AAGAAAAAUUUUAAAGCUGCUAACUUUAAACAAAAUAAUUUCUUU
rnacentral:tRNA from 1 species